AGUGAACGCUGGCGGUAGGCCUAACACAUGCCAGUCGAACGGCAGCACAGUAAGAGCUUGCUCUUACGGGUGGCGAGUGGCGGACGGGUGAGGAAUACAUCGGAAUCUACUUUUUCGUGGGGGAUAACGUAGGGAAACUUACGCUAAUACCGCAUACGACCUACGGGUGAAAGCAGGGGAUCUUCGGACCUUGCGCGAUUGAAUGAGCCGAUGUCGGAUUAGCUAGUUGGCGGGGUAAAGGCCCACCAAGGCGACGAUCCGUAGCUGGUCUGAGAGGAUGAUCAGCCACACUGGAACUGAGACACGGUCCAGACUCCUACGGGAGGCAGCAGUGGGGAAUAUUGGACAAUGGGCGCAAGCCUGAUCCAGCCAUACCGCGUGGGUGAAGAAGGCCUUCGGGUUGUAAAGCCCUUUUGUUGGGAAAGAAAAGCAGCAGGUUAAUACCCCGCUGUUCUUACGGUACCCAAAGAAUAAGCACCGGCUAACUUCGUG
rnacentral:rRNA from 1 species